GGUUAAGCGACUAAGCGUACACGGUGGAUGCCCUGGCAGUCAGAGGCGAUGAAGGACGUGCUAAUCUGCGAUAAGCGUCGGUGAGGUGAUAUGAACCGUUAUAACCGGCGAUUUCCGAAUGGGGAAACCCAGUGUGUUUCGACACACUAUCAUUAACUGAAUCCAUAGGUUAAUGAGGCGAACCGGGGGAACUGAAACAUCUAAGUACCCCGAGGAAAAGAAAUCAACCGAGAUUCCCCCAGUAGCGGCGAGCGAACGGGGAGGAGCCCAGAGCCUGAAUCAGUGUGUGUGUUAGUGGAAGCGUCUGGAAAGGCGUGCGAUACAGGGUGACAGCCCCGUACACAAAAAUGCACAUAUUGUGAGCUCGAUGAGUAGGGCGGGACACGUGGUAUCCUGUCUGAAUAUGGGGGGACCAUCCUCCAAGGCUAAAUACUCCUGACUGACCGAUAGUGAACCAGUACCGUGAGGGAAAGGCGAAAAGAACCCCGGCGAGGGGAGUGAAAAAGAACCUGAAACCGUGUACGUACAAGCAGUGGGAGCCUCUUAAUGGGGUGACUGCGUACCUUUUGUAUAAUGGGUCAGCGACUUAUAUUCUGUAGCAAGGUUAACCGAAUAGGGGAGCCGAAGGGAAACCGAGUCUUAACUGGGCGUUAAGUUGCAGGGUAUAGACCCGAAACCCGGUGAUCUAGCCAUGGGCAGGUUGAAGGUUGGGUAACACUAACUGGAGGACCGAACCGACUAAUGUUGAAAAAUUAGCGGAUGACUUGUGGCUGGGGGUGAAAGGCCAAUCAAACCGGGAGAUAGCUGGUUCUCCCCGAAAGCUAUUUAGGUAGCGCCUCGUGAAUUCAUCUCCGGGGGUAGAGCACUGUUUCGGCAAGGGGGUCAUCCCGACUUACCAACCCGAUGCAAACUGCGAAUACCGGAGAAUGUUAUCACGGGAGACACACGGCGGGUGCUAACGUCCGUCGUGAA
rnacentral:rRNA from 1 species